CCUACGGGUGGCAGCAGUGAGGAAUAUUGGUCAAUGGGCGCGAGCCUGAACCAGCCAAGUAGCGUGAAGGAUGACUGCCCUACGGGUUGUAAACUUCUUUUAUAAAGGAAUAAAGUGAGGCACGAGUGCCUUUUGGAAUGUACGUUAUGAAUAAGGAAAGGCUAACUCCGGGACAGCAGCCGCUGUAAUACGGAGGAUCCGAGCGUUAUCCGGAUUUAUUGGGUUGAAAGGGAGCGUAGAUGGGUUGUUAAGUCAGUUGUGAAAGUUUGCGGCUCAACCGUAAAAUUGCAAUUGAUACUGGCAGUCUUGAGUGCAGGUGAGGUAGGCGGAAUUCGUGGUGUAGCGGUGAAAUGCUUAGAUAUCACGAAGAACUCCUAUUGCGAAGGCAGCUUACUAAACUGCCACUGACAUUGAUGCUCGAAAGUGUGGGUAUCAAACAGGAUUAGAUACCCUGGUAGUC
rnacentral:rRNA from 1 species